AAUUUUAAUUUUUUGUAUUUUCCAUACGUACGUUAGUUUGACAUUGCAAAAACAUGGACUAAAAAUAAAAAUAUACAACUAAAAGCAACAAUAACAAUGGAGUAUUCAUUUUACUAUUUGGAACCAAAAAUAAAAUCACUGAAAUGUAGCUGCUUCUAGUAUGGAACUUUCUAUUUAAGAACUCAAAUCCGAAACAAUGAUUUUAAGCGAAUUGCCUCAAUUUUUAAUAUUUAUCUCAACUCAUACUUGUUGCUUUUUGAUAUGUUCUUACGAAGAAACGUAGUGCCCUGAUUGGAUUUAAAGGUCUUUAAAACGUGCACUGCGCUCGACAAUGUUGUCAGGUAAUAGCCGCCUUC